AUACUUACCUGGCAGGGGAGAUACCAUGAUCACAAGAGUGGUUGUUCCAGGGCGAGGCUUAUCCACUGCACUCCGGAUGUGCCAAACCUUAUGUUUUCCCUAAACAUAGGAAACUUGACUGCAUAAUUUAUGGCAGUGGGGGACUGUAUUUUGCUUUCUCUGA
ensembl:snRNA U1 U1 spliceosomal RNA